rnacentral:rRNA from 1 species
GCGAGGUAGAGCAAAUCUCAAAAAAACAAUCUCAGUUCAGACUGCAGGCUGCAACUCGCCUGCACGAAGUCGGAAUUGCUAGUAAUCGUAGGUCAGCAUACUACGGUGAAUACGUUCCCGGGCCUUGUACACACCGCCCGUCAAACCAUGAGAGUUGGCAACACCCGAAGUCGGUAGUCUAACCGCAAGGAGGACGCCGCCGAAGGUGGGGUUGAUGAUUAGGGUUAAGUCGUAACAAGGUACC